CAGCCGCCGCGGGAAUACAGAGGGUGCGAGCGUUAAUCGGAUUUACUGGGCGUAAAGCGUGCGUAGGCGGCUUCUUAAGUCGGAUGUGAAAGCCCCGGGCUCAACCUGGGAACUGCAUCCAAAACUGGCAAGCUAGAGUACGGUAGAGGGUGGUGGAAUUUCCUGUGUAGCGGUGAAAUGCGUAGAUAUAGGAAGGAACACCAGUGGCGAAGGCGACCACCUGGACUGAUACUGACACUGAGGUGCGAAAGCGUGGGGAGCAAACAGGAUUAGAGACCCCCGUAGUCCCUGUCUCUUAUAC
rnacentral:rRNA from 1 species